UGCGUAGGUGGCGCUGUAAGUCGGGUGUGAAAUCCUGAGGCUUAACCUCGGAACUGCAUUCGAUACUGCGGCGCUUGAGGACUGGAGAGGAGACUGGAAUUCAUGGUGUAGCAGUGAAAUGCGUAGAGAUCAUGAGGAAGACCAGUGGCGAAGGCGGGUCUCUGGACAGUUCCUGACACUGAGGCACGAAGGCCAGGGGAGCAAACG
rnacentral:rRNA from 1 species